rnacentral:tRNA from 1 species
GUGGACGUGGCGGAAUUGGUAGACGCAGCAGACUUAAAAUCUGGUUCCCAUUCGGGAGUACGGGUUCGAGUCCCGUCGUCCGCACCA